rnacentral:lncRNA from 1 species
UUUCAUUUCAUUUCAUUUCAUAAUUAUCAAAAGAAAAUAAAUACAAAAAAUACAAAGCAUUCGAAAUUGUGACAUACCAAAGAGGCAGACAGACAGAGAGACAGAGAGAUAGAGAGAUAGAGAGACAGAGAGGAGGUGCGGCUCCUCCCAGCGAAACGGAAGCUGCCAGCAGUCCAGUUUGCUGUUCAGUUACGGUCGAGUUGCCAUCGUUGUAGUGGGUCCCAGCUACACAGCUCCCAGCUGGAUACCAACAGAACCGAACUGGAGUGAGGCUGAGAGCUGAGAGCUGAGAACCGAGCACCGAGCACCGAGAAUCGAGCUGCAAAACUAUGCACAGUUAUGGACACGUACACGCCAAAAAAGAGCGGGGAUGGUGCUACAAAGCGGUGCGGCUGGACCUCGAUGUGGUGGUCUCCGGGCAAGUGUCCACUCGUGCAAAUUAUUGUGAAAUACGCAAGGAACAGAGCAGAGCAGAGCGGCGGGAGUAGUGGGAGAAAUAAGAGAAAGCAUUGCAUGCUUUACCGAAAAAUGAAGUCAUCGAAAGAGAUGGCCACAGGGUAUGAGAGACCAGAGUGUGCGUGUGUGUGUGUGCUGGAUGGAACCC